CAUCCACGCGUACGGGUGUUGGGAGACAUUGCCCGGAGAUGGAUUCUGAGACACGAAUCCAGACCCUACGGGGUGCAGCAGGCGCGAAAACUUGGCAAUGCGAGAAAUCGUGACCAGGGAACUCCAAGUGGCAGGGGUAAGACCCUGUCUUUUUCCGACUCUAAAUAGGUCGGCGAAUAAGGGGUGGGUAAGGACGGUGCCAGCCGCCGCGGUAAUACCGGCGCCUCAAGUGGUAGUCGCUUUUAUUGGGCCUAAAACGUCCGUAGCCGGUCUGGUACAUUCGUGGGUAAAUCAACUCGCUUAACGAGUUGAAUUCUGCGUGGACGGCCAGACUUGGGACCGGGAGAGGUGUGGGGUACUCUCAGGGUAGGGGUAAAAUCCUGUCAUCCUGAGAGGACCACCUGUUGCGAAGGCUCCACACUAGAACGG
rnacentral:rRNA from 1 species